AAGACUAUAGACCUGCGGAGUACCUGCGGAGGGAUCAUUACAUGAUUUGAGGGGGCUCACGUCCCCUCAUCCAACCCACAAACCCCGAGGAACUUUUAUGUCGAGUGGUUCGGCGCUCUCUUUGAGAGCCGCCCCUCAAACGCAUCGCAGGCUUUCCGUGAAGGUCUGAUGUGUCACAUCGUGAGUAUUAAAACUUUCAACAACGGAUCUCU
rnacentral:misc_RNA from 1 species